rnacentral:rRNA from 1 species
AGAAUCAACGCUGGCGGCGUGCCUAACACAUGCAAGUCGAACGCGAAAGUCCCGAAAGGGAUUAGUAGAGUGGCAAACGGGUGAGUAACACGUGGGUGACCUGCCUUCGAGUGGGGGAUAACGUCCCGAAAGGGACGCUAAUACCGCAUAACAUCCUGCCUUUGAAAAGGCGGUGAUCAAAGCUGGGGACCGCAAGGCCUAGCGCUGGAAGAGGGGCCCGCGCCUGAUUAGCUAGUUGGUGAGGUAACGGCUCACCAAGGCGACGAUCAGUA